GAUGAACGCUAGCGGCAGGCUUAACACAUGCAAGUCGAGGGGCAGCGCGGGAUAGCAAUAUCCUGGCGGCGACCGGCGGAAGGGUGCGUAACGCGUGAGCGACAUGCCCGUUGCCCGGGGACAACCGGUGGAAACGCCGACUAAUCCCCGAUGGGAUACGAUGCUUCAUGGCAUUGUAUUGAAAGUUACGGCGGCGACGGAUUGGCCCGCGUCCGAUUAGCUGGUUGGCGGGGUAACGGCCCACCAAGGCUGCGAUCGGUAGGGGUUCUGAGAGGAAGGCCCCCCAACAUGGGACUGAGACACGGCCCAUACUACUACGGGAGGCAGCAGUGAGGAAUAUUGGUCAAUGGGCGGAAGCCUGAACCAGCCAUGCCGCGUGCGGGAAGGAGGCCCUAUGGGCUGUGAACCGCUUUUGCCUGGGGGCAAUAAGGGCGUCGCGCACGUCCGAUGAGAGUACCAGGCGAAUAAGCAUCGGCUAACUCCGUG
rnacentral:rRNA from 1 species